UACAGAGGGUGCAAGCGUUGUUCGGAAUUAUUGGGCGUAAAGGGCGCGUAGGCGGUGCGGUAAGUCUGCAGUGAAAUCUCUGGGCUCAACUCAGAGUCUGCUGUAGAAACUGCCGUGCUUGAGUGUGGGAGAGGUGAGUGGAAUUCCCGGUGUAGCGGUGAAAUGCGUAGAUAUCGUCUGGAACGCCGAAGGUGAAAACAGCUCGCUGGGGCUGCGCUGACGCUGAGACACGAAAGCCAGGGGAGCGAACGGG
rnacentral:rRNA from 1 species